rnacentral:rRNA from 1 species
GAUGAACGCUGGCGGCGUGCCUAAUACAUGCAAGUCGAGCGAACGGACGAGAAGCUUGCUUCUCUGAUGUUAGCGGCGGACGGGUGAGUAACACGUGGACAACCUACCUAUAAGACUGGGAUAACUUCGGGAAGCCGUAGCUAAUACCGGAUAAUAUUUUGAACCGCAUGGUUCAAAAGUGAAAGACGGUCUUGCUGUCACUUAUAGAUGGAUCCGCGCUGCAUUAGCUAGUUGGUAAGGUAACGGCUUACCAAGGCAACGAUGCAUAGCCGACCUGAGAGGGUGAUCGGCCACACUGGAACUGAGACACGGUCCAGACUCCUACGGGAGGCAGCAGUAGGGAAUCUUCCGCAAUGGGCGAAAGCCUGACGGAGCAACGCCGCGUGAGUGAUGAAGGUCUUCGGAUCGUAAAACUCUGUUAUUAGGGAAGAACAUAUGUGUAAGUAACUGUGCACAUCUUGACGGUACCUAAUCAGAAAGCCACGGCUAACUACGUG